AUGGUGAAGUUUACCGCGGAGGAGCUCCGUGGAAUUAUGGACAAAAAGAAUAAUAUCCGUAACAUGUCUGUUAUUGCUCAUGUUGACCAUGGCAAAUCUACGCUUACGGAUUCCCUUGUGGCAGCAGCUGGGAUUAUUGCCCAGGAAGUAGCUGGUGAUGUUCGCAUGACCGAUACCCGUGCAGAUGAGGCAGAACGUGGUAUUACAAUCAAAUCCACGGGUAUCUCUCUUUUCUAUCAGAUGACUCCUGAAUCACUCGAGAUGUACAAGGGCGACAGGGAUGGUGAUGAGUACCUGAUCAACCUUAUUGAUUCACCUGGCCACGUUGACUUCUCUUCAGAAGUCACAGCUGCUCUUCGUAUCACCGAUGGUGCUUUGGUUGUUGUUGACUGUAUUGAGGGUGUCUGUGUGCAGACUGAAACUGUGCUGCGCCAAGCUCUUGGUGAGAGGAUUCGGCCUGUCCUCACCGUGAACAAGAUGGACAGAUGCUUCCUUGAGCUUCAAGUGGAAGGCGAGGAAGCAUAUCAGACUUUCUCCCGUGUCAUUGAAAAUGCCAAUGUCAUCAUGGCAACAUAUGAAGAUGUGCUCCUUGGUGAUGUCCAAGUGUACCCAGAGAAGGGGACUGUUGCAUUCUCCGCUGGUUUGCAUGGGUGGGCUUUCACCCUUACAAACUUUGCUAAGAUGUAUGCCUCCAAGUUUGGAGUUGAUGAGUCGAAGAUGAUGGAGAGGCUGUGGGGUGAGAACUUCUUUGACCCAGCCACAAAGAAAUGGACCUCCAAGAACACUGGGACAGCUACCUGCAAGAGAGGUUUCGUUCAGUUCUGCUAUGAGCCAAUCAAGCAAAUCAUAGCCACCUGCAUGAAUGAUCAGAAGGAUAAGUUGUGGCCAAUGUUGAAGAAGCUUGGUGUGACGAUGAAGAAUGAUGAGAAGGACUUGAUGGGCAAGGCUCUCAUGAAGCGUGUGAUGCAAACUUGGCUGCCUGCCAGUCGUGCUCUGCUUGAGAUGAUGAUAUUUCACCUUCCCUCUCCCUCAAAGGCACAGAGGUAUCGUGUGGAGAACUUGUACGAGGGUCCCCUUGAUGAUAUAUAUGCUAAUGCUAUCAGAAACUGUGACCCUGAUGGUCCUCUUAUGCUGUAUGUCUCCAAGAUGAUUCCAGCAUCUGACAAGGGUAGGUUCUUUGCCUUUGGACGUGUUUUUGCCGGGAGGGUUGCAACUGGUAUGAAGGUCCGUAUCAUGGGUCCCAACUUUGUUCCUGGCCAGAAGAAGGAUCUGUAUGUGAAGAGUGUCCAGCGUACUGUUAUCUGGAUGGGAAAGAAGCAAGAGUCUGUUGAGGAUGUUCCCUGUGGUAACACUGUUGCUUUGGUUGGUUUGGAUCAGUUCAUCACCAAGAAUGCAACCCUGACAAAUGAGAAGGAAGUUGAUGCCUGCCCAAUCAGGGCAAUGAAGUUCUCUGUGUCCCCUGUUGUGCGUGUUGCCGUUCAGUGCAAGGUGGCAUCUGAUCUUCCUAAGCUUGUUGAGGGUUUGAAGCGGCUGGCGAAGUCUGACCCUAUGGUUCUCUGUAGCAUUGAAGAGUCUGGUGAGCAUAUCAUUGCUGGAGCUGGAGAGCUUCACCUUGAAAUCUGUUUGAAGGAUCUGCAGGAGGACUUCAUGGGUGGUGCUGAAAUUAUUGUUUCCCCUCCCGUCGUCUCCUUCCGUGAGACUGUUCUUGAGAAGUCCUGUCGCACUGUCAUGAGCAAGUCCCCCAACAAGCAUAACCGUCUUUACAUGGAAGCUCGCCCAUUGGAGGAGGGAUUGGCUGAGGCUAUUGAUGAUGGCCGCAUUGGCCCACGUGAUGAUCCUAAGGUGCGCUCUAAGAUCCUAUCUGAGGAGUUUGGUUGGGACAAGGAUCUCGCCAAGAAGAUUUGGUGCUUUGGACCUGAGACGACUGGCCCCAACAUGGUUGUUGACAUGUGUAAGGGAGUGCAGUAUCUGAAUGAAAUCAAGGACUCUGUUGUGGCUGGGUUCCAGUGGGCAUCGAAAGAAGGUGCUUUGGCUGAGGAGAACAUGCGUGGCAUUUGCUUUGAGGUCUGUGAUGUUGUUCUGCACACUGAUGCUAUUCACAGGGGUGGUGGUCAGGUCAUCCCAACAGCCAGGAGGGUCAUUUACGCUUCUCAGCUCACUGCUAAGCCAAGGCUGCUGGAGCCCGUGUACCUGGUUGAGAUCCAGGCCCCAGAGAAUGCACUCGGCGGUAUCUAUGGUGUUCUGAAUCAGAAGAGAGGGCAUGUGUUUGAGGAGAUGCAGAGGCCUGGUACCCCACUGUACAACAUCAAGGCUUACCUCCCGGUCAUCGAGUCUUUCGGGUUCUCAAGUACCCUCAGGGCAGCGACAUCUGGCCAGGCAUUCCCCCAGUGUGUGUUCGACCACUGGGACAUCAUGUCUUCUGAUCCUUUGGAGGCCGGCUCCCAGUCUGCCACCCUUGUCACGGAGAUCCGCAAGCGCAAGGGUCUUAAGGAACAGAUGACCCCUCUGUCUGAUUUUGAGGACAAGCUCUAA
rnacentral:rRNA from 1 species